UCACACUGUGGACUCAGGGGACAGAGAGCACCAUGGCCAGGGCUCUUCUCUGCCUUUUGUUCUUCUCUCAUUUUACAGGUUCCCUCUCCCAGUCUAUGGUGACUCAGCCUCCCUCCCUCUCUGCAACUCUUGGAUCAACAGCCAGACUCACAUGCACCCUGAGCAGUGAUAUCCGUGUUGAAGGCAAGCACAUAUACUGGUAUCAGCAGAAGAAUGGGGGUCAUCCCUGGUAUCUCCUGUACUACUACUCUGAAUCAGAUAAGUACCAAGGCCGCUGGGCUCCAAGUCGCUUCUCUGGAUCCAAAGACACCUCAAAAAAUGAAGGACUUCUGCUCAUUUCUGGGCUCCAGACUGAGGAUGAGGCUGACUAUUACUGUAAGGUCUGGCCCAAUGAUAAUACUGGUUACACAGUGCUCCAGACCUAUGAGGAACUGAGACCAAAACCUCUCCUGUGUCUCUCUGCAUCAAAGUAUCACCUCUGAGACAUUAAUGACAGAGGCCAUUUCU